rnacentral:rRNA from 1 species
UACGGAGGGGGCUAGCGUUGUUCGGAAUUACUGGGCGUAAAGCGCGUGUAGGCGGGACGGCACGUCGGUCGCUGAAAGCCCCCCGGCUCAACUGGGGAGGGUCACGCGAUACUGGUCGACUCGAAGGCAGGAGAGGGUAGUGGAAUUCCCGGUGUAGUGGUGAAAUGCGUAGAUAUCGGGAGGAACACCAGUGGCGAAGGCGACUACCUGGCCUGUUCUUGACGCUGAGGCGCGAAAGCUAGGGGAGCAAACGGG